rnacentral:lncRNA from 1 species
CUCAGGUUUUGUAUUCAUCGCCUGACUUCCUACAGCUCUUCAGCAGGUCUCUCUGACAUGAACCCACCUGAGGGAGGCCAUUACAUUAAUGCCUUCAGCUUUCCGCACAGCCCAUAUUGCUUUGGUGGACGCUUUGAAAUGUCUGGUCGUUAUAACUCAGUCACUCAAGACACCUCACUUAAAAAUUCUAGUUAUGGAAUAAUUGUGAUGCCAUAGGAAGAAAAUUAAGCAAGCUGUCUACUCUUGGGAAAUGUUAACAAAUGCCUGUGCAUACUGUGAAGAGUCCACGGGGAAGAAAAUGAGCCACACAAGAUGGUCCCACCUAUAUUUAUUAUACACUGAUCACUAUGAAGACAUAAAGAUUUGUUAAAAGUGGCCUUUGAAGAGCAUGUAAUUGUGUCCAGAAUUGGCGGGUUCUUGGUCUCACUGACUUCAAGAAUGAAGCCGCAGACC